rnacentral:rRNA from 1 species
AUACGGAGAGUGCAAGCGUUGUUCGGAAUUAUUGGGCGUAAAGCGCGUGUAGGCGGUCUUACAAGUCUGGCGUGAAAGCCUCGGGCUCAACCCGGGAAGUGCGCUGGAAACUGUAGGACUUGAGUACCGGAGGGGGAAGGGGAAUUCUCGAGUGUAGAGGUGAAAUUCGUAGAUAUUCGGAAGAACAUCAGUGGCGAAGGCGCCUUCCUGGACGGAUACUGACGCUGAGACGCGAAAGCGUGGGUAGCAAACAGGAUUAGAUACCCUGGUAGUCCACGCUGUAAACGAUGGGUGCUAGUUGUUGCGGGUAACCAACCCUGCGGCGACGAAGCUAACGCGAUAAGCACCCCGCCUGGGGAUUACGGCCGCAAGGCUAAA